ACGGGAGGCAGCGGUCGGGAAUAUUGCGCAAUGGAGGAAACUCUGACGCAGUGACGCCGCGUGCAGGAAGAAGGUUUUCGGAUUGUAAACUGCUUUAGACAGGGAAGAAACAAGACAGUACCUGUAGAAUAAGCUCCGGCUAACUACGUGCCAGCAGCCGCGGUAAUACGUAGGGAGCGAGCGUUAUCCGGAUUUAUUGGGUGUAAAGGGUGCGUAGACGGGAAAAUAAGUUAGUUGUGAAAUCCCUCGGCUCAACUGAGGAACUGCAACUAAAACUAUUUUUCUUGAGUGUUGGAGAGGAAAGCGGAAUUCCUAGUGUAGCGGUGAAAUGCGUAGAUAUUAGGAGGAACACCAGUGGCGAAGGCGGCUUUCUGGACAAUAACUGACGUUGAGGCACGAAAGUGUGGGGAGCAAACAGGAUUAGAUACCCUGGUA
rnacentral:rRNA from 1 species